UACAUGCCCUACGAAUCCAUAUGCUGGAAAGAGAAGAAGAAAAAUGCAAAUGUCUAACAAGUGAUAGGCGUUUUUUUUUUGUUUGGUUCAAACGUUUGAUUGUUAUUAAAUUAACUGAUUCCUGACCCAAAAAGAACAAUAAGUUUUUUUGCAAGAGUAUUACCAAAACGAUGGCCUUUCUUGGAACAAAGACAAAAAACAUGUUUAUCAAAGUCAAGAAAAAGAACCAGGAUAUCGUUUUUCUCCAUGUGGAACUCUUUGAAUUGAGUUUUUCUAUUGAU
rnacentral:lncRNA from 1 species